rnacentral:rRNA from 1 species
CCUACGGGGGGGCAGCAGUAGGGAAUCUUCCGCAAUGGACGAAAGUCUGACGGAGCAACGCCGCGUGAGUGAUGAAGGUUUUCGGAUCGUAAAACUCUGUUGUUAGGGAAGAACAAGUAUCGGAGUAACUGCCGGUACCUUGACGGUACCUAACCAGAAAGCCACGGCUAACUACGUGCCAGCAGCCGCGGUAAUACGUAGGUGGCAAGCGUUGUCCGGAAUUAUUGGGCGUAAAGCGCGCGCAGGCGGUCCUUUAAGUCUGAUGUGAAAGCCCACGGCUCAACCGUGGAGGGUCAUUGGAAACUGGGGGACUUGAGUGCAGAAGAGGAGAGUGGAAUUCCACGUGUAGCGGUGAUUUUAUAGAGAUGUGGAGGAACACCAGUGGCGAAGGCGACUCUCUGGUCUGUAACUGACGCUGAGGGCGAAAAAAAUAU